rnacentral:rRNA from 1 species
GUGUCAGCAGCCGCGGUAAUACGUAGGGGGCGAGCGUUGUCCGGAUUUACUGGGCGUAAAGCGUCCGCAGGUGGUUGUUCAAGUCCGGUGUGAAAGCCCUCCGCUCAACGGGGGGAGGUCAUCGGAGACUGGGCGACUGGAGGAUAGCAGAGGAAGAUGGAAUUCCCGGAGUAGUGGUGAUAUGCGUAGAGACCGGGAGGAACACCGGUGGCGAAGGCGAUCUUCUGGGCUACUCCUGACACUCAGGGACGAAAGCGUGGGGAGCGAACCGGAUUAGAUACCCGGGUAGUCCACGCUGUAAACGAUGGGUACUCGGUGUGGGGGGUAUCGACCCCCUCCGCGCCCCAGCUAACGCGAUAAGUACCCCGCCUGGGGAGUACGGCCGCAAGGCUAAA